AAGGCUUCGGCCUUAGUGGCGCACGGGUGCGUAACGCGUGGGAAUCUGCCCUUGGGUUCGGAAUAACAGUUAGAAAUGACUGCUAAUACCGGAUGAUGUCGAAAGACCAAAGAUUUAUCGCCCAAGGAUGAGCCCGCGUAAGAUUAGCUAGUUGGUAAGGUAAAAGCUUACCAAGGCGACGAUCUUUAGCUGGUCUGAGAGGAUGAUCAGCCACACUGGGACUGAGACACGGCCCAGACUCCUACGGGAGGCAGCAGUGGGGAAUAUUGGACAAUGGGCGAAAGCCUGAUCCAGCAAUGCCGCGUGAGUGAUGAAGGCCUUAGGGUUGUAAAGCUCUUUUACCCGGGAUGAUAAUGACAGUACCGGGAGAAUAAGCUCCGGCUAACUCCGUGCCAGCAGCCGCGGUAAUACGGAGGGAGCUAGCGUUAUUCGGAAUUACUGGGCGUAAAGCGCACGUAGGCGGCUUUGUAAGUAAGAGGUGAAAGCCUGGAGCUCAACUCCAGAAUUGCCUUUUAGACUGCAUCGCUUGAAUCCAGGAGAGGUGAGUGGAAUUCCGAGUGUAGAGGUGAAAUUCGUAGAUAUUCGGAAGAACACCAGUGGCGAAGGCGGCUCACUGGACUGGUAUUGACGCUGAGGUGCGAAAGCGUGGG
rnacentral:rRNA from 1 species